rnacentral:rRNA from 1 species
UUAGGAAUGUAAUAUGUAUUGACUAAAUUAUUAAUAGUUAUGUUCUUUAAAAUUAAAGAAUUUGGCGGUAUUUUAAUCUAUUCAGAGGAACCUGUCCUAUAAUUGAUGACCCACAAUUUAUUUUACCUACAUUUUUAAUUUGUAUAUCGUCGUAAUUUUAAAUAUUUUAAAAGAAUAAAUAAUAUUUAUAAUUUUUUACAAUAAAAUAAAUCAGAUCAAGGUGCAGUUGAUAUUUAGGUAGAGAUGGGUUACAUUAAAUUUAUUUAUGGAUAAAUAUUUUAAAAGUAUUUUAAAAUUGGAUUUGAAAGUAAUUUUUUAUAAUUUUUAAAAAUGGCUUUAGCUCUAAAAUAUG